ACCAAUUUUCCAUUCUGUGCUCCACCCAGGUCCGUUUAACAGUUUCAGGACCUGACCAGCACCCCUCAGCAUCAUUUGCUUGAGAAAUAAUGAGAUUUGGAACCUAUUGGAACUUCUUCAUCGUGCUUGAACAACCAGAGACUGUCAGGAUCUGCAGCUUCAGCAGUUCCUCUGGUUUCCUUCUAGGUGGCGUUCGAGAGCUCGCCCGCGUAUUCACACACCCUCUCCACAGGUGUGUUUCGGCACACCUGUGGAUCAUCAGCGGGAGCAUAUUAGGAGCGGGUUCCCGGCACUUCGUCGCCAGAGUGUUGUCGCCUUUGUGGCUCCCUGUUGUCUGGACACUCCAUGCGAAGUACGGGAUUUGCAGUUCCAUCCGCCGAGCUCCCUGACGAGUUACGCCCACCUACCAGCUGUUCGAUCACACCGGUCCGCUCCUGAUCAGACGCUCCUGCAUUACACACCAAUUGUCUUUUGUAAAUAAAUCUUUAAUCUGAUCUCCUGA